AUUUAUUGGGUUUAAAGGGUGCGUAGGCGGUUAGAUAAGUUAGAGGUGAAAUCCCGGGGCUUAACUCCGAAAUUGCCUCUAAUACUGUUUGACUAGAGAGUAGUUGCGGUAGGCGGAAUGUAUGGUGUAGCGGUGAAAUGCUUAGAGAUCAUACAGAACACCGAUUGCGAAGGCAGCUUACCAAACUAUAUCUGACGUUGAGGCACGAAAGCGUGGGGAGCAAACAGGAUUAGAUACCCUGGUAGUCCACGCAGUAAACGAUGAUAACUCGCUGUCGGCGAUACACAGUCGGUGGCUAAGCGAAAGCGAUAAGUUAUCCACCUGGGGAGUACGUUCGCAAGAAUGAAACUCAAAGGAAUUGACGGGGGCCCGCACAAGCGGAGGAACAUGUGGUUUAAUUCGAUGAUACGCGAGGAACCUUACCCGGGCUUGAAAGUUAGCGACGGAUCUGGAAACAGGUCUUCCCUUCGGGGCGCGAAACUAGGUGCUGCAUGGUUGUCGUCAGCUCGUGCCGUGAGGUGUCGGGUUAAGUCCCAUAACGAGCGCAACCCCUACCGUUAGUUGCCAUCAGGUGAAGCUGGGCACUCUGGCGGGACUGCCGGUGAUAAGCCGAGAGGAAGGUGGGGAUGACGUCAAAUCAGCACGGCCCUUACGUCCGGGGCUACACACGUGUUACAAUGGUAGGUACAGAGGGUCGCUACCCCGUGAGGGGAUGCCAAUCUCGAAAGCCUAUCUCAGUUCGGAUUGGAGGCUGAAACCCGCCUCCAUGAAGUUGGAUUCGCUAGUAAUCGCGCAUCAGCC
rnacentral:rRNA from 1 species